GUUCCUACCACAACAUAUGAGAUAUAGCGCGAUAAGAAGCCGAGUCUAAGUUAUCUUAAGACUUGAGAAUGUCCGACCUAUGUCAAGAGACAGAUGAUUGAUAAAUUAGAGGAUAGAUUUAUAAUAGCUCGUUUUAUAAAAUAUCCGAAAGAAUCAAUGGGAUACUACUUCUACUUUCCAUAAAAUUAUAAUGUGAUUGUG
rnacentral:lncRNA from 1 species